UGCCGGGGCCAGGCUCCUUCUCUGCGGGGCUGGCAGCUCCGCGCCGCGCUCCGGAGCCGGGCUCUGCCGCUGUCCCGCUGUCCCUGUCCCGCUGUCCCUGUCCCGCUGUCCCUGUCCCUGUCCCGCUGUCCCCUUGUCCCGCUGUCCCUGUCCCGGUCCCGCUGUCCCUGUCCCGCUGUCCCCUUGUCCCGCUGUCCCUGUCCCUGUCCCGCUGUCCCUGUCCCGCUGUCCCUGUCCCGCUGUCCCCUUGUCCCGCUGUCCCUGUCCCUGUCCCGGUCCCGCUGUCCCUGUCCCGGUCCCGCUGUCCCUGUCCCCCUGUCCCGGUCCCGGUCCCCCUGUCCCCCUGUCCCUGUCCCUGUCCCGCUGUCCCUGUCCCUGUCCCGCUGUCCCUGUCCCCCUGUCCCUGUCCCUGUCCCGCUGUCCCUGUCCCCCUGUCCCUGUCCCUGUCCCGCUGUCCCUGUCCCUGUCCCGGUCCCGCUGUCCCUGUCCCGCUGUCCCUGUCCCUGUCCCGCUGUCCCUGUCCCUGUCCCGCUGUCCCUGUCCCGCUGUCCCUGUCCCUGUCCCGCUGUCCCUGUCCCGCUGUCCCUGUCCCUGUCCCGCUGUCCCUGUCCCUGUCCCUGUCCCUGUCCCGCUGUCCCUGUCCCUGUCCCGCUGUCCCUGUCCCUGUCCCUGUCCCGCUGUCCCUGUCCCUGUCCCGCUGUCCCUGUCCCUGUCCCUGUCCCGCUGUCCCUGUCCCUGUCCCGCUGUCCCUGUCCCUGUCCCGCUGUCCCUGUCCCGCUGUCCCUGUCCCNNNNNNNNNNCUGUCCCUGUCCCGCUGUCCCUGUCCCUGUCCCGCUGUCCCUGUCCCUGUCCCGGUCCCGCAGUCCCGGGGCCGCGGCCGGCGGCGGCGGCAGCGCUCGGGGCGGAUCCCCCGGGCACGGGGAAGGCCGGCUAAGGAUGGAGCCAGG
rnacentral:lncRNA from 1 species